rnacentral:rRNA from 1 species
GACGAUCGCUGGCGGCGUGCUUAACACAUGCAAGUCGAACGGAAAGGCCCUGCUUUUGUGGGGUGCUCGAGUGGCGAACGGGUGAGUAACACGUGAGUAACCUGCCCUUGACUUUGGGAUAACUUCAGGAAACUGGGGCUAAUACCGGAUAGGAGCUCCUGCUGCAUGGUGGGGGUUGGAAAGUUUCGGCGGUUGGGGAUGGACUCGCGGCUUAUCAGCUUGUUGGUGGGGUAGUGGCUUACCAAGGCUUUGACGGGUAGCCGGCCUGAGAGGGUGACCGGCCACAUUGGGACUGAGAUACGGCCCAGACUCCUACGGGAGUCAGCAGUGGGGAAUAUUGCACAAUGGGCGGAAGCCUGAUGCAGCAACGCCGCGUGCGGGAUGACGGCCUUCGGGUUGUAAACCGCUUUCGCCUGUGACGAAGCGUGAGUGACGGUAAUGGGUAAAGAAGCACCGGCUAACUACGUG